ensembl:processed_transcript uncharacterized LOC110313241
GGGAUCCAGCUUCGGGACUCAGCUCGAGGUGACCGACUGCUGCCACAGGCUCGUGGGCACGAGUGGCGCUGCGCGGACACUUUGGGGGUUAGGCGUGCGUGGGCCGUCGGGGCGCAUUUCCUGCACGUGGCUCCUCGUCGCCCUCCCUCCUCCACCAGCAAGGAGAGCAGAGGGCCAGGAGCCCUAUGAAGAUGCGCGCGAUUCCCUGGUCCUGGCAGGCAGGACCGCAGCGGGAUGGUCGCGCGCCACCUACCAGGGGCAGGUCACCCGCAGAUCCCCUGCGCGCUUGUUCUGGCUGGCUGGACCAGGAGAUGCGUACCUCCGCGGGCGCAGCUGUGAUCUUAGAGAGUUAACUAAGGUGUCUCGAGGACCUAAGUGCAUGGCAUGACUGGCUGGAGCACACCCUGCGUUCACAGGAGGUUCAUAGAUGUCUAUAUGAGCCGCUGCUGAAGAUGCGGGAAUACACCAGAGAAAAUCCCGAAAUGGUAAAAGACUGGGUCCUCUUUACAAUUUUAGAAGUUGUACAGCAACUUUCUAGCAUACACGAUGGAGAGCAGAUGUGUUAAUUAAAGAAAGGUAUUAGCAAGAAGGAGCUUUCUCUGAGGGCUGAGGUAUGGUUUUACAAAAUUGAGUCAGGUUUUGGAAUAUAUUUUUAGUGGAGGCGAAAAUCUCUAGUUGUAGGAAGUCAGUUCAAGAAGAAUAGUACUACCAUUUUUUGUAUACUAAGCCAAUUCUUGCACUAUAGGAAGCAGAUUUCAAAUUUACUUUAGAAGUUUUGCUAAUUUAUAUUUAAAAGUGUUUUAAGGACUACCUUAGUCACUAAGUGGCUUCGAAAAGUUCCAACAUUUAAAAUAGCCUUUCUCAUUGAACACAUUUCAAGUUUUGUGUCCCUGAAGUUUAUUGGUGCUCCCCCACCCCAAACACAAACAUUCCAUCAUGGAAGGGAGGGAGCUCACGAACCUUCAGACUGUGACUCCUUCCUCUGCCGCAUUUUCCUGGGUAAGAUACACAUUUGGAAAUGAGAGAGGUUUUCCUGUGGAAGAUAAUGACAUGAAGCCAAAGAGCUAAUCUGACUUCUUUAGGUUUAAUGGAGAAAAUGGGUCCAUAAAUGUUUAAACAGAAGUAUAGCCCUUUGAAAUAGAUCUGUGCGGUAUGUGAAUAGUAUAAAGCUGUUUCUUAAAGCAGCUCUGAAAUUUGUCUCAUUUUCUGUUAAUGGGGGAGGGCAGGGACGCUUCAUGUAAUCAAACAUACAGACCUUCUGUGUGGCUCCCCAAAGCUCUGGAUGAGCUCAAGACUCCAGUACUCAUCCUGAUUUAUUUAUUUAUUUAGCAUCUUUUCCUGGGCUCUUGCCUCUUAGAAAACCAGGGUGGAUAUUACAGCUCUGCAAAUGUUCUGGGAUGCGAAUAUCAAGUUUCCUUAGAUGGAGAGGGAGUCCAAAAUCCUAUUACUCGUAAGAGUCAGACAUUCUGAGAUUGCCAGUGUUAUUCAUGUUCAAGUCUGUGUAAAUAAUUGAGCUUAUUAAUGUUUGAAGUAACACCACCACAUUUGCACUCUCAAUGGAAGGCAAAAACUUGUUUUAGAAAUAGUAACUCACAGUUCACUUACUUGGUGUGUGAGUGUGUGUGUUUAUCCAGGUGAGUCUGCAGAUCUGGCAAAGAAGAGCUCAUGGAAGACUUCCAGGCUGCACUCCUGGAAUAUGCCUUGGCCAUGUC